rnacentral:rRNA from 1 species
CCUACGGGUGGCAGCAGUGAGGAAUAUUGGUCAAUGGGCGCGAGCCUGAACCAGCCAAGUAGCGUGAAGGAUGAAUGCCCUACGGUUUGUAAACUUCUUUUAUAAAGGAAUAAAGUUAGGCACGUGUGCCUAUUUGUAUUUCCUUUAUGAAUAAGCAUCGGCUAACUCCGUGCCAGCAGCCGCGGUAAUACGGAGGAUCCGAGGGUUAUCCGGAUUUAUUGGGUUUAAAGGGAGCGUAGAUUGUUUGUUAAGUCAGUUGUGAAAGUUUGCGGCUCAACCGUAAAAUUGCAAUUGAUACUGGCAGACUUGAGUGCAGUUGAGGUAGGCGGAAUGCGUGGUGUAGCGGUGAAAUGCUUAGAUAUCACGAAGAACUCCGAUUGCGAAGGCAGCCUACUAAGCUGCCACUGACAUUGAAGCACGAAAGUGUGGGUAUCAAACAGGAUUAGAUACCCCAGUAGUC